UAAGCAUAUCAAUAAGCGGAGGAAAAGAAACCAACCGGGAUUGCCUCAGUAACGGCGAGUGAAGCGGCAAGAGCUCAAAUUUGAAAGCUGGCCCCUCCGGGGUCCGCAUUGUAAUUUGCAGAGGAUGCUUCGGGCUCAGCCCCCGUCUAAGUGCCCUGGAACGGGCCGUCGGAGAGGGUGAGAAUCCCGUCUGGGACGGGGUGCCUGGGUCCAUGUGAAGCUCCUUCGACGAGUCGAGUUGUUUGGGAAUGCAGCUCUAAAUGGGUGGUAAAUUUCAUCUAAAGCUAAAUACUGGCCGGAGACCGAUAGCGCACAAGUAGAGUGAUCGAAAGAUGAAAAGCACUUUGAAAAGAGAGUUAAACAGCACGUGAAAUUGUUGAAAGGGAAGCGCUUGCGAUCAGACUCGCCUGCGGGGUUCAGCCGGCAUUCGUGCCGGUGUACUUCCCCGUGGGCGGGCCAGCGUCGGUUCGGGUGGCCGGUCAAAGGCCCCGGGAAUGUGUCGCCCUCCGGGGCGUCUUAUAGCCCGGGGUGCCAUGCGGCCUACCUGGACCGAGGAACGCGCUUCGGCUCGGACGCUGGCGUAAUGGUCGUAAGCGACCCGUCUUGAAACACGGACCAAGGAGUCUAACAUCUACGCGAGUGUUUGGGUGGCAAACCCAUACGCGCAGUGAAAGCGAACGGAGGUGGGAACCCUUCGGGGCGCACCAUCGACCGAUCCUGAUGUCUUCGGAUGGAUUUGAGUAAGAGCGUAGCUGUGGGGACCCGAAAGAUGGUGAACUAUGCCUGAAUAGGGCGAAGCCAGAGGAAACUCUGGUGGAGGCUCGCAGCGGUUCUGACGUGCAAAUCGAUCGUCAAAUUUGGGUAUAGGGGCGAAAGACUAAUCGAACCAUCUGGUAGCUGGUUCCUGCCGAAGUU
rnacentral:rRNA from 1 species